CGCGGCCUAUCAGCUUGUUGGUGAGGUAACGGCUCACCAAGGCGACGAUGGGUAGCUGGUCUGAGAGGAUGGUCAGCCACAUUGGGACUGAGACACUGCCCAAACUCCUACGGGAGGCUGCAGUCGAGAAUAUUUCGCAAUGGGGGAAACCCUGACGAUGCGACGCCGCGUGGGGGAUGAAGGCCCUCGGGUCGUAAACCUCUGUGUUACGGGAUGAAUUGAGCGUUGCUGAUAACGCAGCGUUUUUGACGUUACCGUAGUAGAAAGCCCCAGCUAACUACGUGCCAGCAGCUGCGGUAAUACGUAGGGGGCAAGCGUUGUCCGGAAUCACUGGGCGUAAAGCGCGCGCAGGCGGUGGCGUAAGUCAGACGUGAAAGGGUUCGGCUCAACCGAACCACUGCGUUUGAUACUGCAUCACUUGAGUCUAGAAGAGGAAAGUGGAAUGUAUGGUGUAGCGGUGGAAUGCUUAGAUAUCAUAUAGAACACCUGUGGCGAAGGCGGCUUUCUGGUCUAAGGCUGACGCACAUGCGCGAAAGUUUGGGGAGCAACCGGGAUUAGAUACCCCGCUAGUCCUUACUGUAAACGAUGGGUACUAAGUGUAGGGGGUGUUGAUUCCCUCUGUGCUGUAGCUAACGCAUUAAGUACCCCGCCUGGGGAGUACGG
rnacentral:rRNA from 1 species